AAUUCCAAUGUACACAGCUGCACAGAAUUAAAAAAAAAUGAAACAGAACCACAGAUAACACUAAACGCAAAUACAUAGAAAUCAACUUAUUGCCAAGGUUGAAAUUUUGGAAGCAGAACUCAGAAAUAGAACUUCAUAGAGCACAUGAGAAUUCAAGCUAACUUAGUAUUGAAAUUGGAAGUCUAAUCAUGUGCAUAACGACUUCGGUUUAUUUUAAGUUAGGCAAUAUUAUUAUCUAUAAAUUAUUUGCAAGCCAAAGCCACCAAGUUAUGCCAAAUGCACUGAGUUUUGCCAUAUCUUCUCUACAAAUCUACUAAGCUACAUGACAGACAAUUAUAAGCCAGGAAUUAAUUUAAAAAAAAAAGAACUUCUCAAUUAGGCAACCACAAACUAUCUUGGAGUGUCUUGAAAACUCAGUCCCUCAAAAAUAUAUAAACAUAUCAAGCACAAGUUAAUACCAAGUUCCUGUCCUAAGCUCAUACCAUUAACAGAAAGAGGGGAAAAAUCAAGCUAGCGCAUAACUUUCUAGCAUUUCAAAUUUGACAUCUAAGAGGAUGAAUUGACCAUUUAUAUUAUUCUCAAAUGACAACACAAGUUCCUAACAGAAAAAGUUACAAACUGAGUAUUUUCAAAUCCUAAAAGCUGCAAACAUAAUCCAUUGUUAAAUCUCAAUAAAUUCUCAAGUUGAGAGAGAAUGAAGAUGCUUUGGAAUUGCUAAGAGAAUUUAUUGAGAUUGAAAAUGUUUACAGCUGGAAAUUGGAAUGCAACUUUUAAGGCCACAUCGCCUGAGAAGCAUAGGACAAGAUAUAAAAGAGAACUUGCACUCAUUUUCCCUAUAGAAAUUGCUUAUAAAUUGUUACCAAAGUACCUGCCAUUAUUCAAGGAGAAAGGUUGGAUGUUUGAUGAUGCAAGUCAGCACAAUUUUUUGUGGAAAAAUAAAAAUUCUCCAUUCUUUCACCAUUGGAAAUCAAUUAGAGGGUUCAACAGUCAAAGGGGAGAAUCCAGGUACUGUUACAAGAAUAGUCAUUGAGAAAGAUAGCAAUUA
rnacentral:misc_RNA from 1 species